rnacentral:rRNA from 1 species
UACGUAGGGACCAAGCGUUGUUCGGAUUUACUGGGCGUAAAGGGCGCGUAGGCGGCGCGGUAAGUCACUUGUGAAAUCUCUGAGCUUAACUCAGAACGGCCAAGUGAUACUGCAGUGCUAGAGUGUGGAAGGGGCAAUCGGAAUUCUUGGUGUAGCGGUGAAAUGCGUAGAUAUCAAGAGGAACACCUGCGGCGAAGGCGGGUUGCUGGGCCGACACUGACGCUGAGGCGCGAAAGCUAGGGGAGCGAACGGG